rnacentral:rRNA from 1 species
GACGAACGCUGGCGGCGCGCCUAACACAUGCAAGUCGAACGGAGUCACGAGGAGCUUGCUUUUCUUGACUUAGUGGCGAACGGGUGAGUAACGCGUGAGUAACCUGCCCUGGAGUGGGGGACAACAGUUGGAAACGACUGCUAAUACCGCAUAAGCCCACGGAUCUGCAUGGAUCUGCGGGAAAAGGAUUUAUUCGCUCUAGGAUGGACUCGCGUCCAAUUAGCUCGUUGGUGAGGUAACGGCCCACCAAGGCGACGAUUGGUCGCCGGACUGAGGGGUUGAACGGCCACAUUGGGACUGAGGCACGGCCCAGACUCCUACGGGAGGCAGCAGUGGGGGAUAUUGCACAAUGGGGGAAACCCUGGUGCAGCGACGCCGCGUGGAGGAAGAAGGUUUUCGGAUUGUAAACUCCUGUCGUUAGGGACGAUAAUGACGGUACCUAACAAGAAAGCACCAGCUAACUACGUG